AAAGGCAUUUUAAACACAGGGCUCAGCCCAGCUGACUAGGAGACAUCAAAGCUGCCCUGCGUCGACUGACUGAUCCUAAACAUGGCAGUUUCUUAUACCCGCUGCACGCUCACUCAAAAAUGAUAACACUGCUCCCUCCACUUCAGACAGGAACGGAGACAGGCAGACAUGUACAGUAGGGGCGAUAGAGGGGGUGUUAGCCCCUCCUUACUGCUGUCAUUGAAGAAGGAAAAAUAGGAAAAUAAAAAAGAGCAGGAGGAAGAAAGGAAACCACAGCCAUACAGGCAGUGCUACAGGCAGUGCUACGGGCAGUGCUACGGGCAGUGCUACGGGCAGUGCUACGGGCAGUGCUACGGCAGUGCUACGGGCAGUGCUACUCAGCUGAACUGUAUCUGCUGCCUGUUUAACAGUGGGGAGAAGACAUUAUUAGGCGGCGUGCUCCUCCCUCUCCACAGCCAGGCAGCCUUAUCUGUCAGCCAUUAGUUAAUCAAGGCUGGUAACGUAGAAGUAGAGCAGAAAACCGGCACAGCGCGUGGGGCCAAAGAACAACCUCCGAGAGCUGAGCUGAGCAGUACAGGAGGAGGGCAAGGACCUGGGAACCGACCAACCCCUCCACUCUAAACUCUACUACCAGGCUAGGCUGCUGCCUCACUCUACUCAACACUGGAUCAGAGCAUGUCUUUGUCUAGGCAUGGCAGGCUGCAAUUGUAUGAUGACAUCCGCCCAUUCCAUCACAGAGGACAGGUCCUGUUUUGCAAGGAAGUUUCAAAGACAGAAGUCAAAACAACACAUGCUGUCGACGUGGGAAAAGCUGGUAAGAGCAGAACAUCGUGGGGCGGAGGAAUGUCAGAGUCAUAGAUCUUUCAUACUCAAGGCCAAAAUAGCCACACACAGGCCUGAUCAUCUCCAUGCAUGGGAAGAAACAUUAAGCAACACCUCAUACUAGCACUAAUACAGUCCAGUCUAACCCUGGCCAACGUGGUCCAAAUCUGGCAUCCAGACAUCAGUGGCCAAAGAGAUAUCAUUAGACAAUUACUACACAAGUAAGUAGGCUGUAUUAACUGAAAUUAAUUGGUAUUAACUCGCAAAUAGGAUUUCCUCCCAAAAGAGUUAGCACAAACCAAUGUCAUAAGUAUAUUUCGAUACCGAAGGUAAAAAAAUAAGGACAUUUCUUAUUGGCGUCACCAUGGAGUUUAUUGUAAGGGUAAUGAUGAUUGAAAAGGAUAUUGCAAAGUCUAAAUAAUUAUUGGUCUGUGUUAACAAAGAUGACCAAAUGUUCACUACAAGAGCUUAAGGCUGCUUGUGAUGGAAAAUGAAAGCAGUCGACUAAACUCAACUGUGUAGUUGGUGCCAAACUGUGCCUCUGCCAUGGCUAGAAACUCAAAUAAACAAUCCUAAAAGGGCAUAUUAAGUUUCCCCAACACUAUUCUCUUUUUAAGUCAACACCACUCAGAAAAGAUGAACUGAGCAACCAUAAGUCAACUUUCGGGAAUGACAAAAACAACCCGUUUUUCUACCUGUCCAAACAUUCAGCUGGAACCAAGAUCCAUUUCCAUGUCCCACUCCAGAAAAACUCCAUUGGUGCUUCAUUGAGUACAAUGCUGUUGUCUCAUAAAGCUAUGCCAGACCAGGAAAGUGAACCUGAUUUCGGACAGCAGAACUAAAAAGACGGAACAAUGCAUGAGAUUCUAAAGUGACCUUUGGCCCAGGAUUUCCAAGAGCUUCCAAGAGUCCCUAUUCCAUCUUCUUCUUACUCAACACCACUUCACUGUUAAGCUGUCAAGACCCAAACUCUAGUGUCAUUUAUCCUAGUGACGAGUUCACAACCAAAGCCAAAGACAUAGUGUUCUUUUAAAAUAAAUAAAUAAAAUCAAAUGUUAUUUGCCACAUGCUUCGUAAACAACAAGUGUAGACUAACAGUGAAAUGCUUCCCUACGGGCCCUUCCCAUCAACGCAGAGAAAAAUGAUAGAAAAAAAUGAUAACACAAGGAAUAAAUACACAACGAGUAACGAUAACUUGGCUAUAUAUAUGGGGUACAGCUAAUGGUUGUCUUACAGCAUUGUUCAUCUUGGGUUCCCAUAACAGAAUUGCAUCGUAAGACACCAACGACCUUGACCUUGGCCUUGUGUUCCAACCAAAAAGCUACAGUACAGAUAUCGGACAAAGGGCAACAUUUUCCUCUCUCUAAGAGACACAAGAAAAUGUUGCCCAAAAUAUUGUAUGAUGGGACGAUCACAUUGUUGUUAGGUUGUUUGUAAUUUAGAGGUGGUUGAUGGUCAACACCUGCCCGUGUGUGUCUCAUUAACACAUUCCUCCAAGCUGAACCCUCUGUUUACACCUCUGUCUUUUUAUGGGGCCGUUAUGGGGGUGAAAUUGUUGUGUGUUGCUGGUGUGUUUCACAAGCCUGAUAUGCUAUCUACCUUUGAUUUCACCCCCACUAUAGCACUCUUUGAAGAUGUGCAACAAUGUACAAUCUGCAGCUGGGCUCAGUGGACUCCAAAAAUUGUGUUAAACCUUGAGAAUAACUGUGUCCUUAACAGUAGAAGGAAAACAAGUUAGGUAAUAGCAUUGACUACAAAGUCAAAGGCAGCUAUAAUUCCUUGGUUUCUAGCACAUCAGAUAUAAUAUUUGCCCACCAAUGACUGCCUCACGUAGCCACACUGUACAUUUUCAGAUCCUAGACGGGUGUCAAACAUACAGCCCGUGGGCCGGUUCCCUGGGUGGUUUGAGUAUAUACUAUAUUUUUUAAUAGGAUUAUAUCAUUAUUCUGUCAUUAUUCUGAGUGGCGCAGCGGUUUAAGGCCCUGCAUUGCAGUGCUAGAGGCGUCACUACAGACCCAGGUUCGAUCCGUGAUUCGGAGUCCCUUAGGGCGUUGCACAAUUGGCCCAGUGUCACUGUCACGAGUCCGACCGAGGGUGGUUUCCCUUCCCGGGCGGGUGGCGCUCGGCGGUAGUCGUCACCGGCCUAUUAGCUGCCACUGAUUGUCUUUCCUCCCCCUCCUUGUAUGUUUAUUCGUAGCACCUGUUUAUGUAUAAUUAGUUUGUCUUUAUUAGACAGCUGGCCCGCCUGGUUGUUGUGCGGGAUUAUUCAUUGUAACCUUCGGCUCUGUUGUAGAGGUACGUGUUAGUGCCUGGUCGUGCAUUUUCAGUUGUACAUUUUCAUUCCCUGUGUUUGGGGCCGUUACUAUUGUGAGCACCCUGUGGUGCUAUUAAAGAAGCACAUCAUUGCACUCUCUGUCUCCUGCGUUUGACUCCACACCCACGACACCCGGAGCAUUACAGUCGUCCGGGUUUCGGGAGGGUUUGGCCGGGGUAAGCCGUCAUUGUAAAUAAAAAUGUGUUCUUAACUGACUUGCCUGGUUAAAUAUAUAUAUAUAGUUUUUUAAAUUUGAUACUUUAAAAUGACUAAAAGCAAAUCCAAACUGUGUAGAAAUGAUAGAGUUUCUUGACUGUGUCCAACUCGCUAAUAAUCACCCAAAUGAAAACAAGACAGUGAGGGAGCAUAGAAAAUUCAAAAAUCAAUGGAUAGAUUCCAAUUUAAAAAAUGUGAUUGCGAGGAAAUAUAACCAAUAUCCAUUGCGGCCCUCCAGACCUCAUUGACAAAAUGAGUUUGUGCUUGGAAUUUACUCUGGCGGAUGAUAUAAGAGGACUGAACAUUGUGUGAUGUAAACGGCGGUGUCGUUUAAUCACAAAGGGAUGGGCGGGAGACGUUGGGGCUGAAUAUGUAACAUCGAUGAGUACUGUAGGCUCAGACAUUGACUUGCUGGAAUGUCUUCACCAUCUGUGAACCAGCGGCCCUAAAGCUCUGAGAGACAGAUGCACAAGUAGAAACAGACCUGCCAGCCAGGUAGCUAAUGUGGAACGUGCAGUACAGGACCCACAUCAGUAAAGGUAGAGCCUGGAAGUCUUCAUAUAAAGAGUAAUACACUGACUGACGUCUCUUGCACUGCUAACUGACGCCACACAAGAAAGCAGCGGUGUUGGGUGUCUUGGUAAGAUGUGAGGUAAAAAGUAAUAAGCUCUACUUUCUAGGGAGAUAUCGUAUUUUGAGUGGGUUACCACAUUCUUCUAGGGCAACCUCAAACACUUUCCCACUGAACCAAGUUUGGAGAGAAAAAAAAUGUAGACAAAUAUGAAGAGUUUGUACAGUCCAACUACCAAGGUACAUCAACAUGACAGCCACCGACAGGCCCCAACAUGAAUAAUCUCCAGUAGAGACGAGGUGAGAGAAACAUGCAUUGAAGUCCCAUUUCAGAGAGGAUUCACCCCAUAAGCUUUAGAGAUCUUUCUCUCAGAUGCGUUGCAAUGCCAGUUGAGGACCUGUUCCCGAUCAUUGGACAAGCCAGGGAAAGCCUAGUUUAAACGCUUCCAGAUCUCUACUUAUUUUAUCCCCCUGCAUCCAUCCCCAGCUGUAGCGCCAGCGAAACAAAAAUCUGCCUAAACUAGUCUCUCAAUCUUUUCCCCACUCUCUCUCCACUUGCUCUGCUCUGUAUCCAGUUUCUUUGUGGUCGCGAGUCAACUCCUGCUAUUUUAUGUCAUCACCCUCCGUCACUGAGACUGCAUUAGUGGCUAUGUCUAAACGAGCCUUUAAUGUACAGGACUAGGCCACAUAGAGCCAAAUAUAUAUCAAACUUUGAAGUUUGACAUCAACCGUGCUUGAUCGCAGAUGUCUAUAUAGGCAGGAGGGUUCACUGGUUUAGAUGAAAGACUCUCCAUCGCUGACACCUAAUAUUUAUGUUCCAUAUGUACUAUAUAAAUAUCUUGUAUAGUUCUCUCUCAGCCAAACGUUAAGAAAUGUGUGUGUUUUGUUGGGCAAUCUGGGAUAAAAACAAAACAAUCUUUGUAUACAAGCCGUGUCUUUUCUCUGUCAUUUGUUUCUAUUGAGGCAUGGCAGCAUUAUUUCAUUGCUCUCUAAAUUGCAAGAAAUAAAUAUUGGACACAUCAAUGUUGAUGGAGAGCAUACUAAUAUUACAGUUGUUUUUUAUUCAAAUCCUGGGACAAAACCCUCCGAACAUGCCAAAUCCUACAAGUAUACUGACCAAUACAACUCAUCAAUUACCAUAAUUUGGUUUGGCUUAAUGAAUAAACCACCACUAACAGGGACCAAAUGUAACAUUAGCAUCCUGCUCUGGUUUCCAACCUAUGACAUGAACCAUGCUUGAAGAACUGAGACUGAGGGAACCUCCAAGUCUCCAAGUCCUAGCUAGUCCAGUUGAUCAGUGCUACACCGGCAUAUGGGCUGGAUCAGAAAACACAAGCUCAAUGAUGUUACUACCAUCUGACCCCAGGGUGACAGGUUUAGGGGAUUUGCCUCAGGCCAAAGUCAAAUAUGUUUAUGUUGUUGUCAUUUUAAACAAAUAUGUUUAUGUUGUUGUCAUUUUAACAAAUGUCUUUCGUUCAGGGUCACGUCAACAAAGAUCGCUCUCAUUGGGACUCCUCCACUAACUGCAGGAAAUUGUGUUUAUAAGCAACAAAUAGGCAUAAAUUACUAAAAUGUUGGAGUGUUCAAUUCAUCACAUUAUUGUUGGUUAGUGCUGCUUCACCCCAAAAAGGGUUGCAGCUGUUUAUAAAGCAAUCAUCAUUACUUAAUGAUGUUACCAUUGUUGCUAUAUCUAUUUUGUGUGGAACUUUACUGCUCCCAAACUGUGUUUGAAUAACAAAAUCUGUGCAAUAAAUUUCAAUUAUUUUC